rnacentral:rRNA from 1 species
CCCUUAGAUGUUCUGGGCCACACGCGCGCUACACUGAACAGUUCAACAAGUCUUAACCUUGGCCGAUAGGUCUGGGUAAUCUUUGAACGCUGUUCGUGAUUGGGAUAGACCUUUGCAAUUAUGGGUCUUCAACGAGGAAUUCCUAGUAAACGCAAGUCAUCAGCUUGCAUUGAUUACGUCCCUGCCCUUUGUACACACCGCCCGUCGCACCUACCGAUUGAAUGGUCCGGUGAAAUCUCGGGACGGCGGCUUGGUCGCUUGCGUCCGACUGCUGAAACUUGAUUAAACCAUAUCAUUUAGAGGAAGGUGAAGUCGUAACA